rnacentral:rRNA from 1 species
UGGCUCAGAUUGAACGCUGGCGGCAUGCCUUACACAUGCAAGUCGAACGGCAGCAUGAUCUAGCUUGCUAGAUUGAUGGCGAGUGGCGAACGGGUGAGUAAUACAUCGGAACGUGCCCUGUAGUGGGGGAUAACUAGUCGAAAGAUUAGCUAAUACCGCAUACGACCUGAGGGUGAAAGUGGGGGACCGCAAGGCCUCAUGCUAUAGGAGCGGCCGAUGUCUGAUUAGCUAGUUGGUGAGGUAAAGGCUCACCAAGGCGACGAUCAGUAGCUGGUCUGAGAGGACGAUCAGCCACACUGGGACUGAGACACGGCCCAGACUCCUACGGGAGGCAGCAGUGGGGAAUUUUGGACAAUGGGGGCAACCCUGAUCCAGCAAUGCCGCGUGUGUGAAGAAGGCCUUCGGGUUGUAAAGCACUUUUGUCCGGAAAGAAAUCGCACUUACUAAUAUUAGGUGUGGAUGACGGUACCGGAAGAAUAAGGACCGGCUAACUACGUGCCAGCAGCCGCGGUAAUACGUAGGGUCCAAGCGUUAAUCGGAAUUACUGGGCGUAAAGCGUGCGCAGGCGGUUGUGCAAGACCGAUGUGAAAUCCCCGGGCUUAACCUGGGAAUUGCAUUGGUGACUGCACGGCUAGAGUGUGUCAGAGGGGGGUAGAAUUCCACGUGUAGCAGUGAAAUGCGUAGAGAUGUGGAGGAAUANCGAUGGCGAAGNCAGCCCCCUGNGAUNACACUGACGCUCAUGCACGAAAGCGUUGGGAGCAAACAGGAUUAGAUACCCUGGUAGUCCACGCCCUAAACGAUGUCAACUAGUUGUUGGGGAUUCAUUUCCUUAGUAACGUAGCUAACGCGUGAAGUUGACCGCCUGGGGAGUACGGUCGCAAGAUUAAAACUCAAAGGAAUUGCCGGGGACCCGCACAAGCGGUGGAUGAUGUGGAUUAAUUCGAUGCAACGCGAAAAACCUUACCUACCCUUGACAUGCCACUAACGAAGCAGAGAUGCAUUAGGUGCUCGAAAGAGAAAGUGGACACAGGUGCUGCAUGGCUGUCGUCAGCUCGUGUCGUGAGAUGUUGGGUUAAGUCCCGCAACGAGCGCAACCCUUGUCUCUAGUUGCUACGAAAGGGCACUCUAGAGAGACUGCCGGUGACAAACCGGAGGAAGGUGGGGAUGACGUCAAGUCCUCAUGGCCCUUAUGGGUAGGGCUUCACACGUCAUACAAUGGUGCAUACAGAGGGUUGCCAAGCCGCGAGGUGGAGCUAAUCCCAGAAAAUGCAUCGUAGUCCGGAUCGUAGUCUGCAACUCGACUACGUGAAGCUGGAAUCGCUAGUAAUCGCGGAUCAGCAUGCCGCGGUGAAUACGUUCCCGGGUCUUGUACACACCGCCCGUCACACCAUGGGAGUGGGUUUUGCCAGAAGUAGUUAGCCUAACCGCAAGGGGGGCG